ACUACUAUUUAGCUUAGCCCAACUAGUCUCUUUCAACUAACAACAUCAGAGCAGGCCACUUGCUUCUUUGUCCAAUUGUUUUGGGAAACUGGAGCAUCAAGCCCUGCCCAUAAGGAGCGAGGGCCAGAGGAUGGUAUGGGGGCUUGGCCUUCUGGGGAUCUCCAGGCUCAACGAGAGACCAUAUGCAGAAGGAAGGGUUUGUGGUGGACAGGGGAGAACCUAAACGGUAUGUCUCAGGGACCACUAGGACCAGUUUCCCCACAUGCUAGCAGGCCCCUGCCUUGUGAAGGUCACACAGAAAGUUCUGUGAAAGCCACCCAGAGACAUCGACCCACAUGCUGAGCACUUGAGAGCUGGAAGCAGUAUAAUCGAGUGCUCACAGUCAUGUUCAAGUAAGUAGGGGAUUUGAGGCUAGCUGGUCUGUACAAAGACAAAAAAAAAGUGCUAGGUGUCCCUUGGAGAAGCUUGGCAUACUGCUGCCUCUCCCUAGCUGACAGAGCUCUCCCUGAAAAUGCAUUCAAUCUGGCACCACUACCAUGUUACUGCCUCUGCUACACUCUCUGUAUUAAUCUUUGUAGCCAACCUUGCUUCCCAUCCUUGGUCCUUCUCUUUCACCAAAGGAUAGGAAAAUACUGACACAGUCUUACUCGGUCACCUCCACUCUGCCCUCUGCUGCUCAAAGGGAAGAAGGUGGGUGUGACAACUCUCACUUGCCCCUUCCUGCCCAUCUCAUCAGCUGUAGGGUUGUCCUAGUGGGAAACCCAUCACAGAGGAAUAUAUGCAUUGUGUGAUCUCAGAAAGGCUGAGCUACAUCCCCAGGAUCGUCAGAGAACGCUUCAUGGCAGCCUUGAGGUGGUUUUGAGUGAGAAUGGUGUCUGCUAAGAAGGAGAGGUGGAUGGAGAGCAACAGGUGCGCGUGUACAGAGGCUCAGAGGCCUAGAGACCUUGGUGUGCGUGUAAAGUGAAGGAAUAGCCCUAAGUGCAGAUAUGAACAGAAGAGCGACAUAAACAUGGAUUUCACUCUCAGCCUUUUUACCUUUCCUGCCAGCCUGAGACCAAAAUAACUGCUUCUGAACAUAGAUGACUUGGGUCACCUUUGCUGCAUAUCUUGGGCUCAGAGAUGGGUGUGGGUUGGGAACAAGGUACAGGAGUGGGAGUGUAAGGGCGAAGGACAGGGUGAGCCUGAACUCUGGAGGGCUUCCCCAUGUAAGGUGACCCUGGCAGGAUAUAGUGUUCUAGGAAGGCACCAGGGAAGUAUCCCUCAACCCAAGCAAAGCUGUAUAGAAGGAACGGCAGUAUAGACAGUUGAGAGGAUGGUCAUGGGAAGAUCCAGUCCUGCUCCCUGGCUAGACCAUGUAGACCAUGGGGCUCAAGUCCCUGUCUGGGGCUAUAGGGUGGGGGUAUUACACAGAACUGCCUCGCCCAGCUGCCCCUAAGCUUCCGUGUCCUUCCUGCAGAAUCUAUUCUUUUUAAAUCACUCUCUGCCACCUGCCUAUAAGUCCUGUCCCCACUUCCACGUCUUUUUAUUUUGUUUUGUAACCCACUAAGUUUAAUCGGGGCCAUCUGUGAAUCCACGGGCUUGGAACUAUUUGUUGGGUGAGCUCAUGGUGAGCUCAUCAGCGAGAACACAACUAAAGACAGUACCUGACCAUCCUCAGAAUCCAUCAGUAUCCCAUUGUUCAUCAUGAAGGAGUAGAGCCAUUUGGGACACAUACCCAUCUAUGAUUGACUUAUUAACAUGCCUAGUCUUAUACUGACCUAUUGUAAGCAACCACUGCAGCCGUGAGAUCAUGAUUCCAUUGUCUGUGUCAUGGCAGAAGACAGCAUUUCGGAGCUCUAUAGUUCCUCUAUCCACCUUGCAGUUCCUAUAGUCUUACCAUCUCCUCUUCUGAAUUGUUCUCUGAUCCUUAGAUAUGGUAGGUAGCUUGAACAUCUUCCUUAGGGCUGAGUACACGACCAUCACUUAAUCUCAAUAUCUUGAGCAGCCAUGAGUCUCUUUAUUCGUCACCUUUCAAAGUGGUUUCCCAAUCAAAACUGAGAGUAGCAUUUGCCUAUGAGUAUAAACACAUUUACAAAACAGUACGAUCCUGCAUCAACCUAACAAACAAUGCUAGUAAGUUCUCUGUACAGCCUAGGACCUCCCUAGCCACGUUUUUUUUUUUUUAAUGAACCAGGCAUGGAUUCCCUUUUAUGGAGUGGGCCUCAAAAUUAAGCUUAAGAGUGUUGGGUUGCCCCCGUAACAGCCACACCGUUAUUGCACCAGUAGGUACAUGUUAUCUGGCAGGUUGAUACCAUAGUUUGUAGAGUUCUCAGGUAAAGUCAUCAAUGUCCUAAUUUGCUUUCCUGUCACUAUGGUAAACACUAUGACCAAAAGCAACUUGAGGUAGAAAGAGUUUAUUUGGCCUUAUAGAUUACAGUCCAUCCUUGAGGGAAAUCUAAGCAGAAACUGAAGUAGAGACCACUAAGAGAUGCUGCUUACUGGCUUCCUUUCUCAGUCUUGAUCAGUUACCUCUCUUAAACAGUCCAGGCCCACCUGCCUAGGCCAUGGCACCCACCAUGGCCUGAGUCUUUCCACAUCAAUUAGUGAUCAAGAAAAUACCCCAUAGAUGUGGCCAUAGGCUAAUCUUAUAGGGGAAACUCAAUUGAAAUUCCCUCCUCCUAGGAAUGACAAGUUGACAACUGAAGUUAACUGUGACAAAGCCUUUUCUCCCCCAGUAGUUUUCCUUGCACCUUGUAGUACUGUGAAAGCUGACCAUCGAGAAGAGGCUGCCAGUUCAGAUACAGUUUAAUUCUGUCUGUCUGUUGUACCCAAAAUAUGUGAUCUCUUUAGCAAUAGUGCUUUUUCAACUCGUUCUCUGGCCACCCAAGAGGAAUGCCUUAUAUUGUUUUGGUUUCUUGUUACUCUGGGGCCUCCAUGACAGUCCUGGUUAUUAGUCUUUUUGUCAACUUGGCACAGCUAGAGUCAAUUUGGAAGAAAGGAUCUCAACUGAGAAAAUGCCCCAAUCAGAUCUUCCCGUUGGCAAGUCUUUCGUGCAUUUUCUUGAUUAAUGAUUAUUGUUAGUGGACCCGGGUUACUGAGGGCAGGGCUGUCCCUGGGCAUGUGUUCCUAAUUAGCACAAGAGAAUAGGCUAGAAAGCCACAAGGAGCAAGACACUAAAGAGCACUCCUUAUAGCUUCUGCUCCAGUUCCUGCUUCCUGGUUGUUGCUCUGAGUUCUGCCCUCACUUCCCUAAGUGAAGUUGCUUUUGUCGUUAUGUCAAUCAAACCAAUAGAAACCUAACUAAGAAGGCCAACAACUCAUAAGGAGGCAUCCCAUACCUGCCACUAGAAUUUUUGUUUCAGAACCCCUGGAUAUUAGGCUCAGCAUUAUUCAGCCAUGCAGGCUAUCACCCUUUAACCUGACUUCCAAUGCCCGGGUCUCACUGGAGUAACAUAAGCAAUACAAGAGUAAGACAGUCUGUCCCCCACAAGAACUGUCGAGCUUGAAAUUAUCACACCUAAUGAGAACAACUUGGGGAGAGGGAAAAACCACAGGACACAGGAUUCAAAAGGUCACAUAAACAUGUUCAAAAAUUUUAAACUAGAGACAGAUAAACACCUGAAUGAACUCAAAGAAUAUAAGAAUAAAACAUUUGAGGUUUGUGGAAAAAGAACAAGACACUGACAAUUUGGGAUAUGAAAUAAGAAUUCAGUGAAUUGGUAGAAAUUCUAAAGAAAACCCAAGCUGAAAGCAAACUGG
rnacentral:lncRNA from 1 species